rnacentral:lncRNA from 1 species
AGAAAUUUAAAUUAUGACCAAAAAAUAAUUAGUUAAUAAAGGAGUGUAACAACUUUUUCUAAGUAGAUUUUUGGGAAUGAUUUUCUUUUAAUAGUAUAGAUUUAAUAUGUACCUAAUGAUUGAUAGCCAGAAUUUAAGAAAAAAAAUAAAGAUAAAGUUUAAGAUUUUGGUUUUAUAGAGCUAAUGAAUAUUGGAGCACUACUUUGCUCUUAAUUUGUUUAGUGUAAUGAUUAUAGAUUCUAACUUUUGUGUAAUCAUAGAAACGGAGAAGGAUUUAAUUAUGGUGGAGAGUCCAAAUCAUUGGGGAAUAAUAUCCACAUAGGACCCAUGACAUGAAAAACCCCAUAAUUAAACAUAAAUUAAUUCAGGCUACUCCAUUUGCAAGGAAAGAAUAUACUUAUAGAGAAAGAUUGAUGAAGAAAAAAUGCAAAUGAAGU